rnacentral:rRNA from 1 species
AAACUGGGAUUAGAUACCCCACUAUGCAUAGUCUUAAACAAAAGUAUUUUAAUUACAUUAUACUCGCCAGGGUACUACGAGCUUUAGCUUAAAACCCAAAGGACUUGGCGGUGCUUCACACCCACCUAGAGGAGCCUGUUCUAUAACUGAUAACCCCCGUUAAACCUCACCCUAUUUUGCUUAAUCAAUUUAUAUACCGCCGUCGUCAGCUUACCUUAUGAAAGAACAACAGUGAGCAAAACUAGUAAUAACCCAAAACGUCAGGUCGAGGUGUAGUUUAUAAUAGGGGAAGAAAUGGGCUACACUCAUUCAUUAAUGAAUACGGAUGGUAUAUUGAAACAUAAACCUAAAGGAGGAUUUAGCAGUAAGAAGAAAAUAGAGUGUUCCUCUGAAACUGGCUCUGAAGCGCGCACACACCGCCCGUCACUCUCCCUAAUAAUACAAGUAUAAUUAAUUAAAACCUAAAUAAAAUAUAAGGGGAGGCAAGUCGUAACAUGGUAAGUGUACCGGAAGGUGUGCUUGGAAUACCAAAGCAUAGCUGAAAUAGUUAAAGCAUCUCACUUACACCGAGAAGUUGUUCUUGCAAAUAGAACUGCUCUGAUACCCAUAUGCUAGCUCACACACUAAAUUCAAAUAAAAACUAAAAAUAACCCCUAACACCCUAAAAAAUAAUACUAAAACAUUUUAUAGCCCUAGUAAGGGAGACUGAAAAGGAAUAUGGAGCUACAAAACUAGUACCGUAAGGGAAAGCUGAAAAAGAAGUUAAACAAACAACUUAAGUAGAUAAUAGCAAAGAUUAAAUCUUGUACCUUUUGCAUCAUGGUUUAACAAGAUACCUCAAGCAAAGAGAUCUUUAGUUUGCUAUCCCGAAACUAGGCGAGCUACUCCGAGACAGUCAAAAUAUAAUGGACAAACCCAUACCUGUGGCAAAAGGUUGGGAUGAGCUCCGAGUA